rnacentral:lncRNA from 1 species
UGGGUGGCCACCCCACAUGAGGCGUGGGAGCCUGCUGCCCCCUCUUCCUCCUUCCCAUCGCUCAUCCAACACGGAUCCCAGAGCAGCAGUGUGUCUUCCUGGGGCCAGGGUUGCCAGAUAAAAUGCAGCACACCCAAUUAACUUGAGUUUCAGAUAAACGAGUAAUUCUUUCAGCCUAAGUAUGUCCUGCGGAUGUUGUGGGGGUCGGGGGGAGAAGGUGCAGAUUUAACCGGGGUGACAGAGAAGGCUUUGCUGGAAACAACAUGUCAAGGCCAGUAAGCACGUGCAAAGGACCUGGUGUGGAACACGGGGUACCCGAGGGAGCCUUGUCGGUAGCUGCAGGGAUGCAAGAGUGCCCCGUCCAGCAAGCAGUGGCUGGCCCUCCGCAGCCCGUGCCGCCGCUUGGCUUUGCAGGGUCCUGCAGGAGCGGGCCUCACUCUCUGCUAGAUCCGGACAUGCAGCCCAGGUUUGUGCACGUGCCCGGUGGGCCCAGGCGCCAGGCUCA